UUAGGUUAAUAUUCCUGUACUUCUGGUUACUGCGAUGGAGGGACGGAGAAGGCUAGGCCAGCUUGGCGUUGGUUGUCCAAGUUUAAGGUGGUAGGCUGAAAUCUUAGGUAAAUCCGGGGUUUCAAGGCCGAGAGCUGAUGACGAGUCGUCUUUUAGAUGACGAAGUGGUUGAUGCCAUGCUUCCAAGAAAAGCUUCUAAGCUUCAGGUAACCAGGAACCGUACCCCAAACCGACACAGGUGGUCGGGUAGAGAAUACCAAGGCGCUUGAGAGAACUCGGGUGAAGGAACUAGGCAAAAUGGCACCGUAACUUCGGGAGAAGGUGCGCCGGCUAGGGUGAAGGAUUUACUCCGUAAGCUCUGGCUGGUCGAAGAUACCAGGCCGCUGCGACUGUUUAUUAAAAACACAGCACUCUGCAAACACGAAAGUGGACGUAUAGGGUGUGACGCCUGCCCGGUGCCGGAAGGUUAAUUGAUGGGGUUAGCGCAAGCGAAGCUCUUGAUCGAAGCCCCGGUAAACGGCGGCCGUAACAAUAACGGUCCUAAGGUAGCGAAAUUCCUUGUCGGGUAAGUUCCGACCUGCACGACUGGCGUAACGAUGGCGGCGCUGUCUCCACCCGAGACUCAGUGAAAUUGAAAUCGCUGUGAAGAUGCAGUGUAUCCGCGGCUAGACGGAAAGACCCCGUGAACCUUUACUGUAGCUUUGCACUGGACUUUGAGCCUGCUUGUGUAGGAUAGGUGGGAGGCUUUGAAGCGUGGACGCCAGUUCGCGUGGAGCCAUCCUUGAAAUACCACCCUGGCAUGCUUGAGGUUCUAACUCUGGUCCGUAAUCCGGAUCGAGGACAGUGUAUGGUGGGCAGUUUGACUGGGGCGGUCUCCUCCUAAAGAGUAACGGAGGAGUACGAAGGUGCGCUCAGACCGGUCGGAAAUCGGUCGCAGAGUAUAAAGGCAAAAGCGCGCUUGACUGCGAGACAGACACGUCGAGCAGGUACGAAAGUAGGUCUUAGUGAUCCGGUGGUUCUGUAUGGAAGGGCCAUCGCUCAACGGAUAAAAGGUACUCCGGGGAUAACAGGCUGAUACCGCCCAAGAGUUCAUAUCGACGGCGGUGUUUGGCACCUCGAUGUCGGCUCAUCACAUCCUGGGGCUGAAGCCGGUCCCAAGGGUAUGGCUGUUCGCCAUUCAAAGUGGUACGCGAGCUGGGUUUAGAACGUCGUGAGACAGUUCGGUCCCUAUCUGCCGUGGACGUUUGAGAUUUGAGAGGGGCUGCUCCUAGUACGAGAGGACCGGAGUGGACGAACCUCUGGUGUUCCGGUUGUCACGCCAGUGGCAUUGCCGGGUAGCUAUGUUCGGAAAAGAUAACCGCUGAAAGCAUCUAAGCGGGAAACUUGCCUCAAGAUGAGAUCUCACUGGGAACUUGAUUCCCCUGAAGGGCCGUCGAAGACUACGACGUUGAUAGGCUGGGUGUGUAAGCGUUGUGAGGCGUUGAGCUAACCAGUACUAAUUGCCCGUGAGGCUUGACC
rnacentral:rRNA from 1 species